rnacentral:lncRNA from 1 species
CCCACGGGGAUGAUCCCGAAUCCACUGCCCAGAACCUUCAGCUUGCGGAUGGCGCGCAGGAGAUCGUCCCUGCACGGACAGACGGACACACGGACACACUGACGGACUGACAGCCCAGAUCUGGACAGACUGACUGACAAACAGACUGACACACUGACAGCCCAAAUCUGGACAGACAGACACACUGACAGACAGACAGACAGACACACUGACACACUGACUGACAGCCCAGAUCUGGACAGACAGACAGACAGAUAGACAGACACACUGACGGACACACUGACAGCCCAGAUCUGGACAGACUGACAGACAGACUGACAGCCCAGAUCUGGACAGACAGACUGAUGGACUGACUGACAGCCCAGAUCUGGACAGACAGACAGACAGACAGACAGACACCCCACAGGGAUGAUCCCAAACCCGCUGCCCAGCACCUGCACCCACAGCAGGGUCGUCUCUGGAUGGACAGACAGACAGACUGACAGCCCAGAUCUGGACAGACUGACAGACAGACAGACUGACAGACUGACUGACUGACUGACAGACUGACACACUAGAUCUGGACAGACAGACAGACUGACAGACUGACAGCCCAGAUCUGGACAGACAGACAGACUGACUGACACACUGACAGCCCAGAUCUGGACAGACUGACAGACACCCCAGAUCCGCUGCCCAGCACCUUCACCCACAGCAGAUCAUCCCUGGGACGGACAGACAGACAGACAGACGGACAGACAGACAGACUCCCAGGCCAUUCCAGAGCCCAGGAAUGGCCCCCAAAAUACAGGAAAAACCAUGUGGGGGAAAAACAUCCUGGAUUUGGAUUUGGAGGACAAAAAUUCUCCUGGGGUUGGAUUGUGGGGAAAAAUCCUUCCAGGGAAAAAAAAAAAUCUUCCUGGCUUGGAUUUGUAUGGAAAAAUCAUCCUGGGGCUGAAUUCAUAGGGGAAAAAGAUGUUGGAAAAAUCAUCCUGGGGUUAGAUUUGGGGGGAGAAAAUAAUCCAAUUAUAAAUAUAAUAAUCCUGGGGUUUCUUUUAGGAAAAAAAUCCAGGGGUUUAUUUUAGGAAAAAUCAUCCUGGGGUUUCUUUUAGGAAAUAAUUCUGGGGUUUAUUUUAGGAAAUAAUCCUGGAGUUUAUUUUAGGAAAUAAUCCUGGGGUUUCUUUUAGGAAAUAAUCCAGGGAUUUAUUUUAGGAAAAAAUCAUCCUGGGGUUUCUUUUAGGAAAAAUUCCAGGGAUUUCUUUUAGGAAAUAAUCCUGGGGUUUAUUUUAGGAAAUAAUCCCGGGGUUUUUUUAGGAAAAAUCAUCCUGGGGUUUAUUUUAGGAAAAAAUCCUGGGGUUUCUUUUAGGAAAAAUCAUCCUGGGGUUUCUUUUAGGAAAAAAUCCUGGGGUUUAUUUUAGGAAAUAAUCCUGGGGUUUCUUUUAGGAAAAAUAAUCCAGGGGUUUAUUUUAGGAAAAAAUCCUGGGGUUUCUUUUGGGAAAAAUAAUCCUGGGGUUUCUUUUAGGAAAAAUAAUCCUGGGGUUUCUUUUAGGAAAUAAUUCUGGGGUUUAUUUUAGGAAAUAAUCCUGGGGUUUCUUUUAGGAAAAAUAAUCCUGGGGUUUCUUUUAGGAAAAAAAUCCUGGGAUUUCUUUUAGGAAAUAAUCCCUGGGUCUCUUUUAGGAAAAAAUCCCGGGGUUUCUUUUAGGAAAAAAUCCUGGGGUUUAUUUUAGGAAAAAAAUCCAGGUUGGAUUUGUGAGGAAAAAUCCUUUCAGGUGUUGGAUUUUUAGGGAAAAGCCACCCUGGGGUUGGAUUUUAGGGGGAAUCAUCCCGGGCAGGAGCAGCAGCAGAGCUGGGCUGGAACAGCUGGAGCUGCACCCCUGGGGUUCCUGAGGGGUUUUGGGGAUUCCUGAGGGAUUUUUGGGGGAUUUUGGGGGAUUUUUGGGGAUUCCCAGGCACUCAC